rnacentral:rRNA from 1 species
AUUGAACGCUGGCGGCAGGCCUAACACAUGCAAGUCGAGCGAGUGGCGGACGGGUGAGUAAUGUAUGGGGAACUGCCCGAUGGAGGGGGAUAACUACUGGAAACGGUAGCUAAUACCGCAUACUAUCAGAUGUGCCCAGAUGGGAUUAGCUAGUUGGUGGGGGAACGGCUCACCAAGGCGACGAUCCGUAACUGGUCUGAGAGGAUGACCAGUCAAACUGGAACUGAGACACGGUCCAGACUCCUACGGGAGGCAGCAGUGGGGAAUAUUGGACAAUGGGCGCAAGCCUGAUGCAGCCAUGCCGCGUGUAUGAAGAAGGCCUUCGGGUUGUAAAGUACUUUCAGUUGGGAGGCGUUACCCGCAGAAGAAGCACCGGCUAACUCCGUGCCAGCAGCCGCGGUAAUUC